UACAGAGGGGCAAGCGUUGUUCGGAAUUACUGGGCGUAAAGGCGCGUAGGCGGCCUGCUAAGUCGAACGUGAAAUCCCUGGGCUCAACCCAGGAACUGCGUCCGAUACUGGUUGGCUUGAAUCCGGGAGAGGGACGUGGAAUCCAGGUGUAGCGGUGAAAUGCGUAGAUAUCGGGAGGAACACCGGUGGCGAAGGCGGCGACCUGGGUUGACAUUGACGCUGAGGCGCGAAAGCGUGGGGAGCAAACAGG
rnacentral:rRNA from 1 species